AUUGAACGCUGGCGGCAGGCCUAACACAUGCAAGUCGAACGGAGUGGCGAACGGGUGAGUAAUGUAUCGGAACGUGCCCAGUAGCGGGGGAUAACUACGCGAAAGCGUAGCUAAUACCGCAUACUAUUGGAGCGGCCGAUAUCGGAUUAGCUAGUUGGUGGGGUAACGGCUCACCAAGGCGACGAUCCGUAGCUGGUUUGAGAGGACGACCAGCAACACUGGGACUGAGACACGGCCCAGACUCCUACGGGAGGCAGCAGUGGGGAAUAUUGCACAAUGGGCGCAAGCCUGAUGCAGCCAUGCCGCGUGUAUGAAGAAGGCCUUCGGGUUGUAAAGUACUUUCAGCGAGGAGGCGUUACUCGCAGAAGAAGCACCGGCUAACUCCGUGCCAGCCGCCGCGGUAAUAC
rnacentral:rRNA from 1 species